rnacentral:rRNA from 1 species
UAUGUACACACUUUAGAGCUAUUAUCAUUUUACCCUUAUUAAAUCUAAAAUUUACAAUUAAAUCCAUCCUCAUAUGUCAAUUUCCCAACAUAAUCAGCCUCUUUAAAAAUAUUGUAACCCAUUUAUACUUAUUCAUAAGCAGCACCUUGAUCUAAUAUAUUUGAUUUCUAUCAAUUACAAUAAUUCGUAUAUAAAAUUAUCUAACAAUGAAGGUAUACUGGCUCGACAAGAACAAGAGAGAUUCUACGUGGUUUAUCGUUUAUACAACAGGUUCCUCUAACCAGACUAAAGUACCGCCAGGUUCUUUGAAUUUCAAACAAAUUAGUUAUAAAUACUCAAGCCAUCCUUCGCUAUUAUUUUCCAGUGUAACAGGGUAUCUAAUCCUGGUUCAUAUCUGAAACUUCUUGGCUUCAACCUAAGUCUACCCCCUACAAGAACUCAAUUACUUAGCCUAAUAAACAAAUUUCACCUCUUAUUAUUUUAAGCACUAAAUAAGGAAGACUCAUUUUCAUCUAACCGAUGACUUAUACUUCUUCACUGGACCUUCAAGUCUAACCGCGGAUGCUGGCACAAGUUUUAACCUGGCCUAAGUGGUGUUUACUUAAUCCAACUUUUGUUGAUUUUUUAAAUUUUUAGUACUACUUUACUUUUACUCGUCGUGUAUUUUACUUCGAUCCCUUUAUCGCGCCCCUAUAUUAAAUAAAAGCAUUUUUACAUUUAAUACCAAAAUUUGCAUGUACUUUCCAACCCAACUAGCAAAAAAUA